rnacentral:misc_RNA from 1 species
UGCCUGGAGGCCGAGCAGCAC